rnacentral:rRNA from 1 species
UUAAGAUACUAAGAGCAUACGGGGGAUGCCUUGGCGAUAUCUGCCGAAGAAGGACGUGACAAGCUGCGAAAAGCUGCGGAGAGAUGCAAAUAAUCUUAGACCCGCAGAUAUCCGAAUGGAGCAAUCCGGCUGUGGUUAUGCACAGUCAUCCAUACCAUUGAGUAUGAGAAGGGAACCGGACGAACUGAAACAUCUAAGUAAUCCGAGGAAGAGUAAUCAAACGAGAUACCCCAAGUAGCGGCGAGCGAACGGGGCAGAAGCCCAAACCGCGGAAGGAAACUUUUGCGGGGUAGAGGGCCAUCAAUAAAACAAGAACCUUUAGCUGAAUCUGUUGGGAAACAGAGCCGAAGACAGUGAAAGCCUGGUAAGCGAAAGAGGGACUUGUGGAGAUGGUACCGGAGUACUGCGGGACACGAGAAAUCCCGUAGGAAGCAGGGGGGACCACCCUCCAAGGCAAAACACAGAUAUCGACCGAUAGCGAAUAGUACCAUGAGGGAAAGGUGAAAAGCACCCCGGGAGGGGAAUGAAAAAGAACCUGAAACCGUAUGUUUACAAGCAGUCGAAGACCGCUUAAUAAUAAGGUCAACGGCGUGCCUAUUGAAGAAUGAACCGGCGAGUUAUGAGGUCUGGCGAGGUUAAGCAGGAAAUGCGGAGCCGAAGCGAAAGCGAGUCUUAAUAGGGCGAAAGUCGGAUUGCAUAGACCCGAAACCACAGUGAUCUACCCAUGUCCAGGUUGAAACACAGGUAAAAAUGUGUGGAGGACCGAACCUAUAUCCGUUGAAAAGGGUUAGGAUGAGGUGUGGGUAGGGGUGAAAUUCCAAUCGAACGUGGAGAUAGCUGGUUCUCCCCGAAAUAGCUUUAGGGCUAGCCUCAGGGAAGAGAUUACAGGCGGUAGAGCACUGAUCAGGGGCGGGACCUACCCGGUUACCAAACCUAGUCAAACUCCGAAUGGCUGUAAUUAUACCUGGGAGUCAGACUACGACUUAUAAGGGCCGUAGUCAAAAGGGAAACAGCCCAGACCAUCAGCUAAGGUCCCCAAUGCCGUGCUAAGUGGAGAAGGAUGUGGCAUUUCAUAAACAACCAGGAUGUUGGCUCAGAAGCAGCCACCAUUUAAAGAGUGCGUAAUAGCUCACUGGUCGAGAGACGCUGCGCCGAAAAUGUCCGGGGCUCAAGCACGGAACCGAAGCUAUGGCAGACGCAAGUCUGGGUAGGGGAGCGUUCUUAUGAGGAAGAAGCAUGACCGUAAGGACAUGUGGACACAUAAGAAGUGAGAAUGCCGGUAUGAGUAUCGAAAAGAAAGGUGAGAAUCCUUUCCACCGAAAGCCCGAGGGUUCCUGAGCAACGAUCGUCGACUCAGGGUAAGUCGGGACCUAAGCCGAGGCGAAAAGCAUAGGCGAUGGACAACAGGUUGAAAUUCCUGUACCGGAUAAAGUCGUUACGAGCAAUGGAGUGACGCAGGAGGGUACAUGAUCGCGCGACUGGAAGAGCGCGUCCAAGUGAGUAUGUAGAUACAGAGGCAAAUCCCUGUAUCUGAAAGCAGAGACAUGAUGGGGAGUUAAAGGAAACUUUGACGAACUGAUGGAUCCCACACUGCCAAGAAAAACUUCUAGCCAGACAAUAUCCGCCCGUACCGUAAACCGACACAGGUAGGCGGGGAGAGAAUCCUAAGGUGCGCGGGAAAACCCUCGUUAAGGAACUCGGCAAAUUGCAUCCGUAACUUCGGGAGAAGGAUGACCCUGAGUAAAAGAAGAGCAGAAACGCUUAGAGGAGAAAAGGGUGGCAGAAAAGAGGCCCAAGCAACUGUUUACCAAAAACACAGGUGCCUGCGAAAGCGAAAGCUGAAGUAUAGGUGCUGACGCCUGCCCGGUGCCGGAAGGUUAAGGAGAGAGGUCAGCUAAGGCGAAGCUUCGAACUGAAGCCCCGGUGAACGGCGGCCGUAACUAUAACGGUCCUAAGGUAGCGAAAUUCCUUGUCGGGUAAG